rnacentral:rRNA from 1 species
GACGAACCGUCCGAACGUUAUUCGGUAUCACUGGGCUUAAAGAGUUCGGAGGCGGCCAAGUAGGUCAGGUGUGAAAUCCCACAGCUCAACUGUGGAACUGCGCUUGAAACCGUUUGGCUUGAGGGAGAUAGAGGUGAGCGGAACAGAUGGUGGAGCGGUGAAAUGCGUUGAUAUCAUCUGGAACACCGGUGGCGAAAGUGGCUCACUGGAUCUUUUAUGACGCUGAGGAACGAAAGCUAGGGUAGCGAACGGG